CACGGGGCCGCCAAGGCCGAACGGAAACGCCGCUCCGGCGGUGGCCGGAACCGGGACCACCAUAUUUGGCUUUUCCUCCUCACCUUUUAUGGUACUUCCGAGGCCCAAAAAAGGCACUUCCUGCUCCCACCCCCCCGGGACUACGCGACGCAUCUUCCGGGAGCUCCGUGGCCUGGGCGCUGCGGUUGUCUCGGCGUGGUUCCGCCCUCGCCCCGGAGCGACCCGGCGGGUUCCUCGCACGCAGCGAGCCCUGAAUUGGCCACGGGCAGCUUUGGGUUUGGGCAGCGUCUGCUUCGCCCAGGGCCCGGCGGAACGCCCAGGGCCGUUCGGACGCCCGCACGACGCGGCCCAGCCCGGGGGAGCUGCGGCUGAGGGCGGGCCCCUGCCUUCCCUCGCUCCGUUUUCCGGUGCGGCUUUUUUCACGGGGCUUUGUCGCGUUGUAUACGUCCGUCAGAAAUAGGCCAGCCAAGCUCUUUCCGUGGUCUCUGCUGCCACCGCGUGGACAAACUGGAAUACGGCGUCCGUUGAAAGUGGCGCGUGCGUAGUGGGGUUGUAGAGCCGGGCGCAUGCGGAGCGGGGCGUUACCGCUGGCGGACGAGUGGUUUGUUGAGACGAGCGCAUCCGUGGUGCUGUGCCGGAGGUUGCGCCUGCAUCGUAUUUUGUGACUAAAGUAAGACAGUACCUCACUUAAAUGUCACAUUUCACGGAGAAAUAUUGAACUGAGCCCUCAAAAAACAGUUAGGCCUUUUCUCAUUAUAAUUCCAAUUUAGACCCAAGUGAUAAGGCCUUUUCUCCCCACAAUACCUGUGUUGAUGCCAAUCGUUAGAUGUUUGCUCUCUAAAGUACUGCUUUUCAUCCACAAAAGAAGUGACUUUCUUCACAAAAUGCCGCUUCUUAGCACAAUGUGAUGCUUUCUCCCAAAAGUACUGCGAUUGAUCUCAGUAUUAUGCAUUUUCUCCCCAAAAUACCCUUUUUUGUCUCCAAAAUACAACAAUUUCUCCACUUAAUUUACAUCAAAAUUUAGACACUUUUACCCCGAAUAUCACUAUUUAUCCAGAAAAUAAAAUGUUGUCUCUUAACUACCACUGAACACUAAACAGAUGCUCUGCUGGAAUUCGGAAUAAAGGGGAGGGGGGGGGGGAGCUAAAAGGGUAAAAGUUAAAAAGUUAAAGUUAAAGGUAGUUUAUAGAAACAAGUAAAGGAAACUUAAAGGUAACAAGUAAAAGAAACAAGGGGCCUGAGAGAGCAGGGACGAUGCAGAUAAGGAGUGAGACCUCACGGAUGACCAGAAGAGGAGUUGCAUUCCCCCUGAUAAGAACAAGAGGGGGUCUGCAUGCUAAAGGCAAGAGGGGGUCUGUAGGCUAAAGAGCUAUUGAAUAUAGCUAUUGAAUAAUUCCUAGAACUAUUGACUAUGUAUUAGAAGUCUAAGAAAUCAUUGACUAUGUAUCAGAAUUCCGAGAAAUCACUAUGUAUUAAAUGUACCUAUAUCUGUGUCACGAUUUUACAAGUCAGUGUGCAAGUUUGGUGGAGCUAUCCCCCUUGCACCCGGUGCUGCGCAAUGCAGGAAUAAACAUACCUGUUUUAUAACCCAUCUCUGGAUUGUAGAGUUUGAUUCCGCAGGUCGUUUUGGCGACCCAGAUGGGACCCUCUCUGUUUGGCUGCAGGACCGACUGAGAGAGGGGACACCUUUGGCGCGCCCCGAGAUUUCUCGGAAGGACUCCCUUCCCUCAUCCGAUCACUGUGGGAGCAGACAAGGACCCUCUAUCGGCGGAUAAGGUAUGUUUAAUGGGUACAGGGGAAUCUGUAAGUCGUGAGGAGAUGUCCUACGCGGGAGGUGUGAGCUGUCAAGCUCUCCCCUUUGGUAAAGGGCCCGGGCGGUUGAUUGUGUAAUCAUGAUUAGUGGCCGUGUAGAUCGUAGGUUCGAGUCCCACUGAAGUGGUCUCUGAGCUGUUUCAGUUGUGGGUUUAAGUCCCACUGAAGCGGUCUGAGCUGUUCUAAUUGUGGGUUUGGGUCCCACUAAGGCAGUCUCAGCUGUGGGUUCGAGUCCCACCGGGAUUACCAGGUGUGCACGAGAAGAGCUAUUUUUGCUCCCCCUUAAGGGGUUGGUUGGUGAGAAAGUAUAGUGGAUACUCUGUCAAUGUUAAUGUGGGUUUUCUUAGCUGUAUUAGCAGGAAUUGUUGUGUAUUUGGCCAUUAUUAACAUCUCUUAUUAGCGCUUGUUACUGUAAGUGUUGAACAAACAACUUUGAUAUUUUCUGAGAAAUGUUGUACCUUGAACUGUGUAAAGACCGGUCUUGUGCAGUCUGUGUGAGUGUGGUUGUGAGUGAGAUGCAGCACAGCUGCGGGGCGAGAGCGGAAUCCCGACCCACGGUUCUGUCCUCCUGUGAGGGAAACGUCCCGGGACAGACGAAGCGAAAGGUCUCUAUGUUCUAUAUGUUACAAUGUUUUUGUAUUUGUUAUGAUGUUUUUGUCUUAUUAAUUGUUGUUAGUAUUGUGGCAAUUGUAACGCACAUAAUAGUGAAGUGCAUAUGGAAUCGGGUGGUGGAAAAAGCCCACAAAAGGCAAACCACAAUUAGUAUCGAGAACCUGUUGCUUUUGUUGU